GAUGAACGCUAGCGGCAGGCUUAAUACAUGCAAGUCGAGGGGCAGCACGAAUAGCAAUAUUUGGUGGCGACCGGCGCACGGGUGCGUAACACGUAUACAAUCUACCUAAAACAGGGGGAUAGCCUUUCGAAAGAGAGAUUAAUACCCCCGUAAUAAAUUGAAUGGCAUCAUUUGAUUUUGAAAGCUCCGGCGGUUUUAGAUGAGUAUGCGUCUGAUUAGCUAGUUGGUAGUGUAAAUGGACUACCAAGGCAACGAUCGAGUAGGGGAUCUGAGAGGACUAACCCCCACACUGGUACUGAGACACGGACCAGACUCCUACGGGAGGCAGCAGUAAGGAAUAUUGGUCAAUGGAGGCAAACUCUGAACCAGCCAUGCCGCGUGCAGGAAGACGGCCCUAUGGGUUGUAAACUGCUUUUGUACCAGAGAAAACCCCGAUACGUGUAUCGGGUUGAUAGUACGGUAAGAAUAAGCAUC
rnacentral:rRNA from 1 species